UGGGGAAUAUUGGACAAUGGGCGAAAGCCUGAUCCAGCCAUGCCGCGUGUGUGAAGAAGGUCUUCGGAUUGUAAAGCACUUUAAGUUGGGAGGAAGGGCAGUAAGCUAAUACCUUGCUGUUUGACGUUACCGACAGAAUAAGCACCGGCUAACUCUGUCGCCAG
rnacentral:rRNA from 1 species